GAUGAACGCUGGCGGCGUGCCUAAUACAUGCAAGUCGAGCGAACAGACGAGGAGCUUUCUCCUCUGACGUUAGCGGCGGACGGGUGAGUAACACGUGGAUAACCUACCUAUAAGACUGGGAUAACUUCGGGAAACCGGAGCUAAUACCGGAUAAUAUAUUGAACCGCAUGGUUCAAUAGUGAAAGACGGUUUUGCUGUCACUUAUAGAUGGAUCCGCGCCGCAUUAGCUAGUUGGUAAGGUAACGGCUUACCAAGGCAACGAUGCGUAGCCGACCUGAGAGGGUGAUCGGCCACACUGGAACUGAGACACGGUCCAGACUCCUACGGGAGGCAGCAGUAGGGAAUCUUACGCAAUGGGCGAAAGCUUGACGGAGCAACGCCGCGUGAGUGAUGAAGGUCUUCGGAUCGUAAAACUCUGUUAUUAGGGAAGAACAAAUGUGUAAGUAACUAUGCACGUCUUGACGGUACCUAAUCAGAAAGCCACGGCUAACUACGUG
rnacentral:rRNA from 1 species